rnacentral:rRNA from 1 species
UACGUAGGCAGCAAGCGUUGUUCGGAGUUACUGGGCGUAAAGGGCGCGCAGGCGGCCCUUGAAGUCAGGCGUGAAAGCCCCGGGCUCAACCUGGGAGGUGCGCUUGAUACUCGAGGGCUUGAGUGCGGGAGAGGAGAGUGGAAUUCCCAGUGUAGAGGUGAAAUUCGUAGAUAUUGGGAAGAACACCGGUGGCGAAGGCGGCUCUCUGGACCGUAACUGACGCUGAGGCGCGAAAGCGUGGGGAGCAAACAGG